UACGUAGGUGGCGAGCGUUGUCCGGAUUUACUGGGCGUAAAGGGAGCGUAGGCGGAUUUUUAAGUGAGAUGUGAAAUACUCGGGCUCAACUUGAGUGCUGCAUUUCAAACUGGAAGUCUAGAGUGCAGGAGAGGAGAAUGGAAUUCCUAGUGUAGCGGCGAAAUGCGUAGAGAUUAGGAAGAACACCAGUGGCGAAGGCGAUUCUCUGGACUGUAACUGACGCUGAGGCUCGAAAGCGUGGGGAGCAAACAGG
rnacentral:rRNA from 1 species